rfam:Candida tropicalis MYA-3404 genomic scaffold supercont3.8, whole genome shotgun sequence.
GAUAUGGUGGCCGAGUGGUUAAGGCGUGGCGUCCAGGUUUAUUCUGGGAUUUGCCAUGGGCAUUGCCCGCGCAGGUUCGAACCCUGUCCAUGUCG